GUGAUCGAUUCCCAGUGCCAUCCUGAACCACAAGAUUGGAAUAUCGCACCUUUCAACUGCCUGGGCUGAUAAACAAUACAGCAUGUACUCAGCUUCAUAAACACUCUGCCUUGUUACAAAGGGCAUUGCAAACUCGCCGUGAUAGGACUUGACCUUAAAAGCUAUAGACAAUCUAGCGGAGCACAGACGGUUUCAUAAAGUACAAUCACUUCCUGGAAUUCUUGGGCCAGUGCAGUCGGAGCCGUGCAAAUCCUGUUUUCCUUGCAUUGUUUCCUGCAUGUGAAUAUCAUCAGUCUAGCAGUCUCUCUCUGUCACCAGGCUGGAGUACAGUGGGGCAAUCUCGGCUCACUGCAACCUCUGCCUCCCGGGUUCAAGCGAUUCUCCUGCCUCAGCCUCCCGAGUAGCUGGGACUGUAGGUGCACGCCACCAUGAGCAGUUAUUUUUUGUCUUUUUAGUAGAGACGAGGUUUCACUAUGUUGGCCAGGCUGGUCUUGAUCUCUUGACCUCGUGAUCUGCUGGCCUCAGCCUUCCAAAGUGCUGGGACUAUAGCCGUGAGCCACCAUGCCAGGCCCAUCUAACUUUUAAUAUAGAUUGUAUGAUGUUUUCAUAAAACAAGCAGGGCUCAGAAAGGCCGUAUAAAGCCACAGAGCCAGCAAGCAGCAGAGUCUGCAUUUUAAUCCAUAUGUUCAUGGCUUCAAAGCAAUGUUAUUUAACUCUAACAAUGCAAUUGAACUAACAACUGACAUCAGACACAAAUAUUCUGAAGAACCUGGAGAAAUAGAAAAGAAUUGGAUAGAACUGAUGGCUCAUGGGCAGAAGCUGUGCAUCAGGAAGAGGAAAUAAAUGGCAUUGUUCAGCCAUGAAGCCAUAUAAUUUCAACCUGACUUUCCUUCU
rnacentral:lncRNA from 10 species